ACGCACGCUGGCGGCGUGCCUAAUACAUGCAAGUUGAGCGAUGAAGAUUGGUGCUUGCACCAAUUUGAAGAGCAGCGAACGGGUGAGUAACGCGUGGGGAAUCUGCCUUUGAGCGGGGGACAACAUUUGGAAACGAAUGCUAAUACCGCAUAACAACUUUAAACAUAAGUUUUAAGUUUGAAAGAUGCAAUUGCAUCACUCAAAGAUGAUCCCGCGUUGUAUUAGCUAGUUGGUGAGGUAAAGGCUCACCAAGGCGAUGAUACAUAGCCGACCUGAGAGGGUGAUCGGCCACAUUGGGACUGAGACACGGCCCAAACUCCUACGGGAGGCAGCAGUAGGGAAUCUUCGGCAAUGGACGAAAGUCUGACCGAGCAACGCCGCGUGAGUGAAGAAGGUUUUCGGAUCGUAAAACUCGGUUGGUAGAGAAGAACGUUGGUGAGAGUGGAAAGCUCAUCAAGUGACGGUAACUACCCAGAAAGGGACGGCUAACUACGUG
rnacentral:rRNA from 1 species